rnacentral:sRNA from 1 species
UUCUUGACCUUGUAAGACCC